UACGUAGGGUGCGAGCGUUAAUCGGAAUUACUGGGCGUAAAGCGUGCGCAGGCGGUUAUGUAAGACAGAUGUGAAAUCCCCGGGCUCAACCUGGGAACUGCAUUAGUGACUGCAUAGCUGGAGUACGGCAGAGGGGGAUGGAAUUCCGCGUGUAGCAGUGAAAUGCGUAGAUAUGCGGAGGAACCCCGAUGGCGAAGGCAAUCCCCUGGGCCUGUACUGACGCUCAUGCACGAAAGCGUGGGGAGCAAACAGGA
rnacentral:rRNA from 1 species